AGCGAACGCUGGCGGCAGGCCUAACACAUGCAAGUCGAGCGCCCGUAGCAAUACGGGAGCGGCAGACGGGAUAGUAACACGUGGGAACGUACCCUUCAGUUCGGAACAACCCAGGGAAACUUGGGCUAAUACCGAAUACGUCCGUAAGGAGAAAGAUUUAUCGCUGAAGGAUCGGCCCGCGUCUGAUUAGCUAGUUGGUGAGGUAAUGGCUCACCAAGGCGACGAUCAGUAGCGGUCUGAGAGGAUGAUCAGCAUCACUGGGACUGAGACACGGCCCAGACUCCUACGGGAGGCAGCAGUGGGGAAUAUUGGACAAUGGGCGCAAGCCUGAUCCAGCCAUGCCGCGUGGAUGAUGAAGGCCCUAGGGUUGUAAACCUCUGUCACCGGGGAAGAAACGCUUCAAGUUAAUAGCUUGAAGCCUGACUUAACCCGGAGAGGAAGCAGU
rnacentral:rRNA from 1 species